rnacentral:lncRNA from 1 species
AACUAUGAAGUGGAAGGAGCUAGAGACAAGGCUAAUGAAGAGGAUCCCUACUAUAUACAGGGCUAGUCUCAGCUAAAAUAGACAUUCCAGCAAGAAAAAAAGAAUAAGUACCACAAGCAAAUUAAAGUAACUAAAGGAUGAACAGGGUGAUUUCAGAAAGAUCUGGAAAUACCUACUUGAAGUGAAACUAAGUGAAAUAAUACUGUAUUGAAGUAUGAAGAAUACUGUACACAAUAACAGUAAUACUGUGGAAUGAUCAGUUGUGAAAGACUUAGCUACUCUCAGCAAUACAAUGACUCAGGACAAUUCUGAGAGACUUAUGACAAAGAAGCUAUCCACCUCCAGAGAAAGAACUGUUGGGAGUGAGGACAAUGUCUCCAUUGCUUGAAGCUCAAGAACAGUGUAGAACUUUCUAAAGCAGAACUAUAUAAUCAUGAUAAAGAGAUGGGCCCAAGUUCACAAGGAGGUUAGAGUCAAGAAUAUGAAUGUCUAUCAUUCAGACUAUGAUAUAUUAUUUGCAUGAAUAUCCAUAGAAUUGGUCCCUCUAUCUUGAACAGAAAUUAUAAAUAAACAAUAAACUGGGACAAGAAUUAUGUAAGAG